rnacentral:lncRNA from 1 species
UAGGGAUCAAAAUAGGGUACAUCGUACGGGAGGUCGUACGGGAGGCUGUAGGGCGGGUAUGGCGCCUCAUAAGGUGCGUAGGGAUCCAGGUAGUAGCCGUGCGGGUACGGCUCGCCUUGGUACCCAUCAUAGUAGCUGUAGGGGGACGCGUACCCGGCCGGGGGCGCGUACGGGGGCUCGUAAUCGUCGUAGCCGUAGCCGUAGGGGUACGUGGGAUAGUAGGGGCCGCCGUAAUAGUCCGGGUGGUAGUAGUCGUAGGGGUCCUCGGGCGGGUACCCGUAGGGGUGGUCUCCGUAGGGCGGCCAGGCCGGGUUGUAGGGGUCGUAGGGCCGGUAGCCCAGGUAGGGCUCCUCCUCCUCGUACUGGUAGAGCGACUGCCGGUCGUAGUAGUCGUCGCCCUCGCGGUGGUAGUCGUAGUACUCGCCCAGGUCCUGGAAGCCCUCGAGGCCGUACAGCGACUUGCGGGAGCCCGAGGGCCGGAACGGGGCCUCGUCCUCGAAGGGCAGGAAGCCCACCGGCUCGCCCGACGCGUAGAUGCUGCGGCUGCGGGGGAACCUCCGCAGGCGGCCUCCGUGCCGCAGGAUCUCGGCGCCCGACGGGAAGGGCAGCUUGCGGGAGCCCACGCGGGAGCCCGAGCGGUUGAGCCAGGCGUCCAGCGUGGCCUGCUUGCUGCCGGACUCCUCGGCCUUCUUGAGAAGGAACUUCUUGGUGAGCCAGUUGAUGGCCGUGGACGCCUUGCUGAGCGACUGGGCGCGCGGCCGCAGGCGGCCGUAGCCGCGCCGGCCCGGGAAGCGGAUGACCAUGAACGACGGCUUCUUGCCCUUCAUCGCCCGCUUCUUCUUGCCCAUGCGCAUUUGCGUCAUGAGCUUGGACGUCGACUUGAGCACGGUGCGCGCCUUCUUCUUGCGUUUGGUCUUCUGCGGGCCGGUGUGCAGGCCCCAGAAGAAGGCCGAUGCGCUCCGGAACUGGCCCUUCUUGGAGAUCUUGGGCGUGCGGUCGCGGAAGCCCAUGAACAGCCGCGACGUCCCCUUCAGGCUCCGUUUGGGCUUCUCCGGCUCCGGAGCCUUCUUCCCCUUUUUCCCUUUCUUAGCUUUCUUCUCAUCCUCUUCCUCCUUCGCCAUGGUGGCUGCCUGUUCCCCACCGGGCGGCGGCCCGUGUCACGAGCUCUGGGACUUGGAGACAAAGGGACACGCGGCGUCUCCUGCCCGCCGCAGGACACGCGGCCUCCUCGGGCUGGGAGCAGCCGGGACUGGCCUGGGUGGCCUGGGGAGGGACAGCCAAGCUGCUUCCGCUGCGACCAGAUUCCGGGAGGGCGGAUCCAUAAUUCAUCUCCUCCAGGGCCGCCUUGGGUUUCACCCCAGCGGUGGUGGAAAGUGCGUGGGUGUUGUUUACGGGGGAGCAGGGGAGGCCUGGCCCAGGCCUGUGCUGGGGGCGACCAUCUUGGCCUUGGAAUCACCAUGAGGACAGUCGUGCUGGCCAGUCAAGCCCUCCCUAUGCCUCCGCCGCCUCAGCCCACCGAAGUGAAUGCUUGGGUCAAGGGUACUUCACAGAAGGAGACUCUGAGUCCCAGAGCAGGGAAGCCACCUGCCGGAAUCCACUUAGCACAUGCGUCCUGGGCCAGAGGGGAGCCACCUCUCUUGAGCCAGGGUGGGAGGUUCAAAGCCCACCGAGUUACCCUGGAGGGGAACCUUGGACCCACCAGGUCCUGG